AUCAGAUGUAGGCCUUGGGAAAGUCACAGCCCCAUGUCCCAUUCCCCUCUGCUGGCUUCCUACCUGGUUGCACGGAUGGCCUUCCCUUGUUGACAAACAACCUGCUUCUGUAGGACACAUGGGACUGAAGGUCUGCAAAUGGAAUCUCCUCACCAGGAACUCAAACUCCAGAAAGGUGCCCAAGCAGCACACCUGACCACGUCCCUUCACAUAUUUCAGCGACUUCUCAUGGCAUGGCGCUGGUCAUUCUAAAUCAUUUUACUUCAUCCUGUCUGAAGUCUGCAUUACAGUCACUAUGAAGUCAUUUCUCAUUCUUAACCAGCCCCCUUCAGAAACUCUGAUGAUUUUACACUUAUAAAUUGUAAAUAUUAUUUCUAAUAAAAUGAUAGCGCAUUGCCAGGUCUCUUCAAAUCUGUACAUAACGGGGAUAUUUCCCGAGCAACAG